rnacentral:lncRNA from 1 species
UUUUCAAUAAUUUUUAAUAAAGUUGCAGAAAUAUAUAAUAAAAAAUUAAUAAAAAAUGUGAAUCCAGGAAAUUUAUAAUUAAAAUUACUUGCUAAAUCUGAAUUAAACUUUUAUUAAGCUUUUUAGCCAAGCGAUGGCAUAAUAUUUCAAGAUUUUAUGGGUAUAAUUUUCACCCACAAAACUAUUACAAAUUAACAGCACAAAUAUUCCUCCUACAAAGAAAGAUUAAGGUCCAAGUCUGUGUCCGCACCUUUAUCAACAUCUUCAGGCUCUUUAUCUUCUGUAUUACAUGUCCCCGUCGCGGCCACAGACACCGACACCGGCGGUGGUUCCACUUCUUCCAUCAUAUAUGUUUCCUCCUUAUCUCUUCCUUCACCAAAACUUGUUCGUGGUGUUACUGUAUUACUUGUGCUACU